ensembl:snoRNA U3 Small nucleolar RNA U3
AAGACUGUACUUCCAGGGAUCAUUUCUAUAGUUUGUGAAAUGUAUAGAAAUAUCAAAUCACUAUGUUGCAUAACAGCAACUAAUAUAGU